GUCCACAUGUGGAUAAUGCACCACUCAAUCUAAAUAGUACACUUGUGCUGGUGUGCUGCAGUGCAGUCUACCUGCUACUUUUCUGCAGGCACUCACCUUCUCAGAGUCUGUGAUCCUGAAAUAUCAAGGGUGCAUUUCAUUUGCUGAAUAUGUGGGACAUACAAUGUAAUGACAUGAGAUGUCUCUCUUGUGUGCUAAGGCUUUUGUAAUUGUCACCCAUCUCUUAGAGGGCUACUAACAUCCUGUCAGUCAGAAGACGACUGAAGUAAGCGCCAUGGUGAUUUAUCUGCUCAGUAUGAA
rnacentral:lncRNA from 1 species